CAGGAACCGGAAGUAGAAGAGAGGAAAAUAAUGAAGAAGUUAAUAAUUGGUGGACUUUACCAGCAACAAAGUCAUGAAAAUGUUGAAUAAUAACGUAUAAAAGAAGAACAAUCAUAUGACAACAGUGAACUGCGCAGCUGGUAGUUGUGGAAGGAGCCUAUCCCAGUGGACUUCAGGAGGAAGCUGUGGCCAACAACUGGAACAUUCUAGUUCCACAUACAGAUGUCUCCAACCCGGAUCUCCUGAUCUCCAACCUGGAUCUCCUGACUCCUUCUUGCGACAUGAAGAAGGAAAAGUAUCUUCCAUAUGAGGGGGUGUGAACAAGUGAUGACAUAAAUCAUGGUCCCAAUAACAUUGCAUCUAAUAGACAAUGUCUCAUUUCAAAAUGAGGGUGGUCCCAAAAAGGAGGGAUUUUUCCACAUUGACUGUGUGUCGCUUUUAAAAGUGCUCCUCCUCUGGUCAACAUAUGAAAUAACAAGUGUGU